rnacentral:rRNA from 1 species
GUGCCAGCGCCGCGGUAAUACCAGCUGAUAAAGAACAUGAUACUAUUGUCGCGUUUAAAGCAUCCGUAGUCGGUGUUUUGGGGGCGUCGCUAAGGUGACGUGCCAUCAUGGGUUCAUGCCCUUGUUUCUGUGAAUAAAUCAGAAUGAUUAAAUAUGGACGUACCGAACAGGUUGCCAAUGCUAAAGCACAGGAAAACAUCAUAUACCCGCCUAGCGGAGGAUAAGAGAAAAGAAUAAUCGAAGGGUCAUGUACUUGGUGGCUAGCGGUAAAAUGCGGUGAUUCACCAAUGACAAACAACUGCGGAGGCAUUUCCCUAGUCUAUUUCUGUAUGAUCAAGGAUGUAGGUGUAGGGAUCAAAUCGGAUUAGACACCCGAGUAGUCUACACAGUAAACUAUACCAAUUAGAAAUGUGGUGAGUUAUAAGUUUCAUUAUGUAUCUGGAUGGAAACAUCAAAUGAGGUCAUGGGGGGAGUACGUUUGCAAGGAUGAAACUUAAACGGAUUGACGGAAUAGCACCACAAGACGUGGAGCGUGCGGUUUAAUUUGAUUCAACGCAGGAAAACUUACCAAGGUAUGACAUGGAAAUGAUAGACAGGUUAAAAGGCCUUUCUUGAUUCUAUGAGUGGUGGUGCAUGGCCGAUCUUAGUUGGUGUUGUAAAAUGUCUGGUUAAUUCCGAUAACGAACGAGAUCCAAACUUUCAAGUCGGCGUAUACAGCAAUGCUGUACUACGGUCUCUUUGAAGGACUACUGACCUAAGUCAGGGGAAGUUUUGGCUAAAUCAGGUCUGUGAUGCCCAAGGCGAAUUC